rnacentral:rRNA from 1 species
UACGUAGGGUGCGAGCGUUAAUCGGAAUUACUGGGCGUAAAGCGUGCGCAGGCGGUUCGUUGUGUCGGCGGUGAAAGCCCCGGGCUUAACCUGGGAAUGGCCGUUGAAACUGGCGAACUGGAGGGUGGCAGAGGGGGGUGGAAUUCCGCGUGUAGCAGUGAAAUGCGUAGAGAUGCGGAGGAACACCGAUGGCGAAGGCAGCCCCCUGGGCUAACACUGACGCUCAGGCACGAAAGCGUGGGGAGCAAACAGG